AGGCGAUGAAGAUAGAAAUCGUUUCUCGAUGCUGAUUUUUGAUCAUUAGAUCACAUUCUGAUGACCUAUUUGUGCGUGUCUGAGCCUU